GGGCCCGCACAAGCGGUGGAGCAUGUGGUUUAAUUCGAUGCAACGCGAAGAACCUUACCAGGUCUUGACAUGUCACUUUUUUCUUGAAAAAGAAAGUUCCCGAGUGAACACAGGUGGUGCAUGGCUGUCGUCAGCUCGUGUCUUGAGAUGUUGGGUUAAGUCCCGCAACGAGCGCAACCCUUAUUCUGUGUUGCUAUUUAUAGGAAACUCAGAAGACUGCCGGUGAUAAGCCGGAGGAAGGUGAGGAUGACGUCAAGUCAGCAUGCCCCUUACGACCUGGGCCACACACGUGCUACAAUGGCCGGGACAAAGAGAUGCAAUCUCGCGAGAGCAAGCUAACCUCAAAAACCCGGUCUAGUUCGGAUUGUAGGCUGAAACUCGCCUACAUGAAGCUGGAAUCGCUAGUAAUCG
rnacentral:rRNA from 1 species